rnacentral:rRNA from 1 species
AUUGAACGCUGGCGGCAUGCCUUACACAUGCAAGUCGAACGGUAACAGGUCUUCGGAUGCUGACGAGUGGCGAACGGGUGAGUAAUACAUCGGAACGUGCCCGAGAGUGGGGGAUAACGGAGCGAAAGCUUUGCUAAUACCGCAUACGAUCUACGGAUGAAAGCAGGGGACCGCAAGGCCUUGCGCUCAUGGAGCGGCCGAUGGCAGAUUAGGUAGUUGGUGGGAUAAAAGCUUACCAAGCCGACGAUCUGUAGCUGGUCUGAGAGGACGACCAGCCACACUGGGACUGAGACACGGCCCAGACUCCUACGGGAGGCAGCAGUGGGGAAUUUUGGACAAUGGGCGCAAGCCUGAUCCAGCCAUGCCGCGUGCAGGAUGAAGGCCUUCGGGUUGUAAACUGCUUUUGUACGGAACGAAAAGCCUCGGGCUAAUAUCCUGGGGUCAUGACGGUACCGUAAGAAUAAGCACCGGCUAACUACGUGCCAGCAGCCGCCGUAAUAC